rnacentral:rRNA from 1 species
AACGGCCAUACCAUGUUGAAUAUACCGGUUCUCGUUAGAUCACCGAAGUCAAGCAUCAUUGGGCGCGGUCAGUACUUGGGUGGGUGACCACCUGGGAACACCACGUGCCGUU